CCAACCCAUGUGACGUUACCAAACUGUUGCCUCGGCGGGAUCUCUGCCCCGGGUGCGUCGCAGCCCCGGACCAAGGCGCCCGCCGGAGGACCAACCAAAACUCUUUUUGUAUACCCCCUCGCGGGUUUUUUAUAAUCUGAGCCUUCUCGGCGCCUCUCGUAGGCGUUUCGAAAAUGAAUCAAAACUUUCAACAACGGAUCUCUUGGUUCUGGCAUCGAUGAAGAACGCAGCGAAAUGCGAUAAGUAAUGUGAAUUGCAGAAUUCAGUGAAUCAUCGAAUCUUUGAACGCACAUUGCGCCCGCCAGUAUUCUGGCGGGCAUGCCUGUCCGAGCGUCAUUUCAACCCUCGAACCCCUCCGGGGGGUCGGCGUUGGGGAUCGGCCCUGCCUCUUGGCGGUGGCCGUCUCCGAAAUACAGUGGCGGUCUCGCCGCAGCCUCUCCUGCGCAGUAGUUUGCACACUCGCAUCGGGAGCGCGGCGCGUCCACAGCCGUUAAACACCCAACUUCUGAAAUGUUGACCUCGGAUCAGGUAGGAAUACCCGCUGAACUUAAGCAUAUCA
rnacentral:rRNA from 1 species